UGAAAAACACAAAACCCAAAAGGAUUCACCAUAAACUCGACCUAGGCUCUUGAUACCACUUGAAGGAAAAUUUUUGUCAUGGCUAAGAACAUGUGAGAAUAUUUGAACACAUAUGCAAACUAUUAACACAUUAAAGUAGGCAUGCAUUCAAAAACAAUUCUAAAACCCAUGACUUUCAAAGCCUAGUGAAUGGUGAACCACAAGACUCUUUAAGAACAUUAAAGAGAAAGAAGGUUUUAGAGAUUCAUUACCCUUGAAGCUCAUCCUUGUUUACACAAGGGAUUCACCCAAGUGGAGGGCCUUCAAGUCACCUUCUAGCUCCUUGGAUCUUCCUUGUGAUUUUCUUCCUUUUGAUGCUCCUUUGCUCCUUGAGGAUGUGAGGAAAGGAUCUCCAAAAACACCAAAGAUUUGGUGUCUCUAAGUCUCCACACCAAGGAUGAGGUGUGAAGAUGAAAUGGAUGAUUUAGAGAAGAAAAGAUUGCUAGCUAUAUCUUCUCUAAGUGGCCGGCCUCCUUUAGAGAAAAAGAGAGAAAAUGUUUCUCAUCUUUGCCUCAAGAAAACCCUAAUGAGGUAAAAGCUAUAAAGAUGCUUUUAUAUCUCUUUUCUUAGAUGAGUGGCAAACUUGCAAUUAAGCAAAACUUACCACUCCCUCACUAUGGCCGGCCUCUUUUAAGUGAUUGGGCUAUUAGCCCAUAUUUGUUUUAGUUGUCAUACAACUUAAACAUAAUGGGCCUAGUGGACCAAACCCUUUUGGACCUCGAAGCCCAAAACUAACUUAAAAGCCCAAUACGAACCUUUCGUAUAAUUAAUCAACUAAUUAAUUAGCCUUGACCAUAUUUCAAUUAAACAUUUAAUUGCUUAUCCAUUUCAUUUAAAUUUCUUCACUUGCAUCCUUACUCGGUGUACGAUCCAUUAGGUUCCAAUUAGCGAGGCAGUGGGCGAUUGUUACUCUUAACGAUCGAUUGUGAAUUGAAACUACAUUUCAAUUCUCCCUUUGAUUAAGAUUAGUGUUUGCUAAUCUUCAGGGUUUCCACAAACCAUGAGUGACACCUAGCAGCAUGUCAUGUGAUGUGAUAUUAACUAGCACUCAAAUUAAACCCUCUUUUUAUCAAUUGUAGCAAUGUAUGUAAGUAGGGAUCGUUCUAGACCGGGGAUUAGGAGGGAUUGCAAAAUCACUUGGAAUUGACUCAAAAACGUAAAAACAAGUUUAACACUAAAAUAAACUCAAUGAAUGCAAAACUAAACUUUAAAACAUCAAAACAAACCAAAAGACUCAAAACAGCACCAAAACACUCAAAACUGCCUUAAAACCACUUUCUGGGCAGUUUUGAACUCUAAACAAGAUUUUGACGAAAAUAGGUUUUAACUUGACUCAAAACACUUAAAAAUACAAACUAACACACUCUCUAACUAAUUUGACACUUGAAAACAAAGGGGGAUUUGGUUUUUACGAAAUUGAAAACAAAACAUAAACUUGUAAAUCAAAACAGAUUUUAAAACGAAUUUCAUUGAAUUGAAUGGAUAGAAAGCUAGC
rnacentral:lncRNA from 1 species